AGUAAAAUGUUUGUUGAGCACACAAUGGUAUCAUCAGAGGGGACACCGUGUGCACCUUGCCUGUGAUGAGCCGCUGAGUGACGGUCCUCUGCCUCCUCGCCCAGCGCCCAGAUAGCCAGGUGUGCUGCCCGCUGGCUUUCUUACCUGAGGGAUGGGAUGAACAGACGGCUGAGUGGACAGACGGACGGAGAGAUGAACUCCUGCCGUUCCGCGUGCUGCCACUGAAUGGCGGGGUAUCACAGUCUUCUUGAAUGCCCAGUCCGUCUUCUGCGGGAGGAGGUGUGGCUGAGAUAGUCUUCAUCACGUGGGGGGUGUAAUGCACACUCCUUCCCCGCACUGGAGUGCCAUUUCCAGAACCUCCUGCUCGACGAGGGACAGAGGAACGGCGGGCUGUGUUCCCUUCUACCAGGCCCCCUC